GACGAACGCUGGCGGCGUGCUUAACACAUGCAAGUCGAGCGGUAAGGCCCUUUCGGGGGUACGACGAGCGGCGAACGGGUGAGUAACACGUGGGUGACCUGCCCUCCAGCUCUGGGAUAAGCCUGGGAAACCGGGUCUAAUACCGGAUAUGACUCCAUGACGCAUGUUGUGGGGUGGAAAGCCUUGUGCGGCUGAGGAUGGGCCCGCGGCCUAUCAGCUUGUUGGUGGGGUGAUGGCCUACCAAGGCGACGACGGGUAGCCGGCCUGAGAGGGCGACCGGCCACACUGGGACUGAGACACGGCCCAGACUCCUACGGGAGGCAGCAGUGGGGAAUCUUGCGCAAUGGGCGAAAGCCUGACGCAGCGACGCCGCGUGAGGGAUGACGGCCUGUGUAAC
rnacentral:rRNA from 1 species